rnacentral:rRNA from 1 species
GAUGAACGCUGGCGGCGUGCCUAAUACAUGCAAGUCGAGCGAACGGACGAGAAGCUUGCUUCUCUGAUGUUAGCGGCGGACGGGUGAGUAACACGUGGAUAACCUACCUAUAAGACUGGGAUAACUUCGGGAAACCGGAGCUAAUACCGGAUGAUAUUUUGAACCGCAUGGUUCAAAAGUGAAAGACGGUCUUGCUGUCACUUAUAGAUGGAUCCGCGCUGCAUUAGCUAGUUGGUAAGGUAACGGCUUACCAAGGCAACGAUGCAUAGCCGACCUGAGAGGGUGAUCGGCCACACUGGAACUGAGACACGGUCCAGGCUCCUACGGGAGGCAGCAGUAGGGAAUCUUCCGCAAAGGGCGAAAGCCUGACGGAGCAACGCCGCGUGAGUGAUGAAGGUCUUCGGAUCGUAAAACUCUGUUAUUAGGGAAGAACAUAUGUGUAAGUAACUGUGCACAUCUUGACGGUACCUAAUCAGAAAGCCACGGCUAACUACGUG